CCAGUGCUCCGGUCUGCCGCUGGUGCCUCCAUGGCACGAGAGGAAAGUCCGGGCAGCACAGGGCGCCCCACUUCCGAAAGUAGAAGCUAUUGGUGACAGUAGGUGCAGGCAGAAGAAAAUAACCGCCGUAAGGUAAGGGUGAGAAGGUGGUGUAAGAGACCACCAGCCGUUGGGUGAUCAGCGGGCUGUGCCAGCUGGGGGCUGCAAGUUCAUGUAAACCGUUGACUGAGGGUUGCCCGCCCGAAUUCAGCGCUUCGGCGACUGAUGCAACGGAGGGUAGAAUGCUAGAGACGCAUGGUGACGUGCGUAGUAGAUAAAUGGCAGACACAGACUAUGUCUGGACAGAACCCGGCUUAUAGGGGCACUGGAUUU
rnacentral:RNase_P_RNA from 1 species